rnacentral:rRNA from 1 species
CCAGACUCCUACGGGAGGCAGCAGUAGGGAAUCUUCCGCAAUGGACGAAAGUCUGACGGAGCAACGCCGCGUGAGUGAUGAAGGCUUUCGGGUCGUAAAACUCUGUUGUUAGGGAAGAACAAGUGCUAGUUGAAUAAGCUGGCACCUUGACGGUACCUAACCAGAAAGCCACGGCUAACUACGUGCCAGCAGCCGCGGUAAUACGUAGGUGGCAAGCGUUAUCCGGAAUUAUUGGGCGUAAAGCGCGCGCAGGUGGUUUCUUAAGUCUGAUGUGAAAGCCCACGGCCCAACCGUGGAGGGUCAUUGGAAACUGGGAGACUUGAGUGCAGAAGAGGAAAGUGGAAUUCCAUGUGUAGCGGUGAAAUGCGUAGAGAUAUGGAGGAACACCAG